UUUGGGGCUGGGAAGGGGAAAAGAUCCUUCCUGGAAGCUGGCGAAGGUGGAGGUGCUCCCAGAGGUUGAUGUCUCUUGACACCAGGACCUCAGGGAUGCCGAUGGGUUGGGUGCGGACACUCACUGGCCCUUUCGGGGCACUUGGUAGCCCUCAGGCUAAUUGUAGGGAUGUUGGAUGCCCGCGGGCUUUGCCGGCAGCCCAGGGCACUCCUUCCCCUCUCUGUCUCUCGGCUCUCGACUGCCUUGUGCAGCGGGGUGAGAGUAAAGCCGCGUUUCCUCAUCACCCAAGGGCUUUGCCGGGCACGGAUGGGCUCGGAGUGGGGGCUGGAUGGGAGGAGCCGGGGCUCCGCUAACCUCAUUAACCAGGUUCCCAACCAGCCUCGCCAAACCCAAAGCCGGCCGGCUGCCACCUCCUGAGGGCACCCCCGUGCCAGCCUCCGGCACCCAGGAGCAGCCGGCUGCGCUGGGAGGUGGCAUGCGACCGCGGGCAUCGCCCCUCCGGGCACCGGCGCCAGCGGCGAGGGCCGGCGGCGGAGCUGGAGAGCUGGAUCCCGCUGAGAGGAUGAAAACAUGGGGCUCAAGUUUUCCUGCCUGAAAGGCUUGAAGAUGUGCGUGAGCAGCGGGAACGGCAGCGACGGGACCCCGACGGGGCAGAAGCACCUGCACGUGCCCUCCAUCAUCGUCACACCCCCCACGCCCACGGGGACCACGCUGUCCCGCGAGGGCCGGCGCGGGGAGGGCCCCUCACCCUGCAGCCCGUGCUGAGAGGGGACACGGGGGACACCCAGCCCGGCAGGACCUGUCCCCGCUCCGUCGGGAUGGAGCCGCAGCCCCCGGGGCACGGCUGGGCCGGAUGCAGCUGCCAGGGACACGCGGGGCACCCACGCGGGUGGGUUUGGACGCCAGGGACUGGGGUUUGUCCCUUUUCCUAACAGCACCGGCGAGGGGGAUCCCCCCACGGUGAAUAAAACCCGCACCCCCA